CAAAAGGUUUACAACACCUGGCCAUUUCCAUCUCAAUCUCUCCUUUACAUUUUCAUUCUUCAUCCUCCCUGCUCUCUUCUUUGUCUACGUCGAAGCACUAUUUCCUCAUCCACCAGGCAACAUCUCAUCACAGUUCUUCGGUUUUCACGGAUUUUUGAACAACCAUGUCUAGACCACCUAUUAUGAUUUCUGAAUUGAAACCCGAUCAAAAUGUUUGGAAGAUAGCAAUUCGUGUCGUCGAUGUAUGGGACGUCAAGGAACAUAAUGGUCAGCAAUACGUUGAAGCCAUCCUUCAAGAUGCAAAGGGGUGAUCAGAUCCACGUUGUAACCCGUGAUAUACUGAUUGACAGUAACAAGGCUAGCAAAUCACGUGAUUGAGUUGGAGCAAGGCUAAGUAGUGACAAUCUUUAAGUCAUUCAGCAUAUCAGUUUGCAACCAUACUCUUCAAAUGCAACCAUAAGAUUUAAUUUUAUAGAAUACUACAGUUUAUGCUCUAAGAUUUACUUUUGUAGAAUACUGCUUCUAUUUUUGAUUAUUUCUGUCUGAUUGAUAAGUUUGUUUUCGUGCAUCAGAGGUAAAGGCUGCAGAAUAGGCUUAGAGGAAAGCUGAAGCUGAAGCCAAAAGGAAGAGUGAACUGGAGAGAGAAGCAGGAAUCCAAUUGUUGAUUUUGAAUACUAUUUAUGUGUUAUGAUUUUAUUGAAAGAGUGUGACUAUUUAUGUAACUGUUCUAUUUUGAUUUGAUCCCUUUUCUAAAUUGUGUCUUUUUCUAUGUGCUUUUUCUCUAGGUCCAGGUUUACCUUCUGGUUUUAUCACUUUUCUUGCAUGGAGCAUAUGCGAGGUUCAAUUGGCCGAACUUCACCAUUGAUUUGUUUGUAUUCUUGUGUGUGUUUAUUUAUUUGUUUUUCUUAGAGUCGGACUGUUCUAACAAUUUGAUUAAUAUACCAUGACCUUGCUGGUUGUUUAAACUAUUAUCAGUUGUAAGAUCACUUGGUGUUGCAUCGAUGAGGGAGGUGGUGGCGCCGUAUGAGGCGGUGGUGGAGGAGUUAAAGAAUGAGGUGAAGGUGAGGGAUUUGGAAGUUCAGAAUUUGAAAGAGAAGCUUGAAGGUAUUGUUGCUCUUUCAAGUAAUGGUAGUGGUGAAAAGAAACCAGGAAGAUCUAUGUCUAAGAGAAAACUAGGAAUUCAAGGUACAUUAUGAUUAUGAAUGACCCUCUUUGUUUUUUAGAUAGAGUAAUGUUUUUUAUGAAAAUGUUGUGUUUCAUGUUGGAAUUUGGAUAAUUCAGAAAAAAGUUACUUUUUUGGUUUAGACUUGAUGAUGCUUUGAA